CUUGCCGUCAGCCUUUUCUUUGACCUCUUCUUUCUGUUCAUGUGUAUUUGCUGUCUCUUAGCCCAGACUUCCCGUGUCCUUUCCACCGGGCCUUUGAGAGGUCACAGGGUCUUGAUGCUGUGGUCUUCAUCUGCAGGUGUCUGACUUCCAGCAACUGCUGGCCUGUGCCAGGGUGCAAGCUGAGCACUGGAGUGGAGUUUUCCUGUGGAGAGGAGCCAUGCCUAGAGUGGGAUGGGCCAUUGUUCAUCUUCUGGCCCCUGUUGUCUGCAUGUAACUUAAUACCACAACCAGGCAUAGGGGAAAGAUUGGAGGAAAGAUGAGUGAGAGCAUCAACUUCUCUCACAACCUAGGCCAGCUCCUGUCUCCCCCCAGGUGUGUGGUGAUGCCAGGCAUGCCCUUCCCCAGCAUCAGGUCUCCAGAGCUGCAGAAGACGACGGCCGACUUGGAUCACACUCUUGUGAGUGUCCCCAGUGUUGCAGAGAGCCUCCACCACCCCGAGAUCACAUUUCUCACUGCCUUUUGUCUGCCCAGUUUCACCAGAAGUAGGCCUCUUCCUGACAGGCAGCUGCAGCACUGCCUGGCGCUGUGCCCUUCCUUUGCUCUGCCCGCUGGAGACGGUGUUUGUCAUGGGCCUGGUCUGCAGGGAUCCUGCUACAAAGGUGAAACCCAGGAGAGUGUGGAGUCCAGAGUGUUGCCAGGACCCAGGCACAGGCAUUAGUGCCCGUUGGAGAAAACAGGGGAAUCCCGAAGAAAUGGUGGGUCCUGGCCAUCCGUGAGAUCUUCCCAGGGCAGCUCCCCUCUGUGGAAUCCAAUCUGUCUUCCAUCCUGCGUGGCCGAGGGCCAGGCUUCUCACUGGGCCUCUGCAGGAGGCUGCCAUUUGUCCUGCCCACCUUCUUAGAAGCGAGACAGAGCAGACCCAUCUGCUACUGCCCUUUCUAUAAUAACUAAAGUUAGCUGCCCUGGACUAUUCACCCCCUAGUCUCAAUUUAAGAAGAUCCCCAUGGCCACAGGGCCCCUGCCUGGGGGCUUGUCACCUCCCCCACCUUCUUCCUGAGUCACUCCUGCAGCCUUGCUCCCUAACCUGCCCCACAGCCUUGCCUGGAUUUCUAUCUCCCUGGCUUGGUGCCAGUUCCUCCAAGUCGAUGGCACCUCCCUCCCUCUCAACCACUUGAGCAAACUCCAAGACAUCUUCUACCCCAACACCAGCAAUUGUGCCAAGGGCCAUUAGGCUCUCAGCAUGACUAUUUUUAGAGACCCCGUGUCUGUCACUGAAACCUUUUUUGUGGGAGACUAUUCCUCCCAUCUGCAACAGCUGCCCCUGCUGACUGCCCUUCUCUCCUCCCUCUCAUCCCAGAGAAACAGGUCAGCUGGGAGCUUCUGCCCCCACUGCCUAGGGACCAACAGGGGCAGGAGGCAGUCACUGACCCCGAGACGUUUGCAUCCUGCACAGCUAGAGAUCCUUUAUUAAAAGCACACUGUUGGUUUCUG
ensembl:lncRNA DDX11L16 DEAD/H-box helicase 11 like 16 (pseudogene)